UAGAAUGUGGUGUACUCUGGAUAGCACGGAGGAUUUUGAAUCCUUAGGAGUAGGUUCAAUGCCUAUAAUUCUAG
rnacentral:tRNA from 1 species